rnacentral:rRNA from 1 species
UACGGAGGAUGCAAGCGUUAUCCGGAAUGAUUGGGCGUAAAGCGUCCGCAGGUGGCAAUGUAAGUCUGCUGUUAAAGAGUCUAGCUCAACUAGAUAAAAGCAGUGGAAACUACAUAGCUAGAGUACGUUCGGGGCAGAGGGAAUUCCUGGUGUAGCGGUGAAAUGCGUAGAGAUCAGGAAGAACACCGGUGGCGAAGGCGCUCUGCUAAGCCGUAACUGACACUGAGGGACGAAAGCUAGGGGAGCGAAUGGG